GUUUGCUGGAGUGUGCUAGAGCUCAGAGGAGCUGCCCUACACCUUUCUCUCUCUCUCUCUCUAGGAUUUUUCUCUCUCUACAAAGGAGUCGCCGUUUUGCGCCGAUUUCGCGUCCCGUUCGACGCUCGCUGUUUAGGUGGACUUGGGGCCAGCUUUUAAAAGUGUCGGAUUUCGAGCCAUUUUGGUGUUGUUGCUCCUGGCUGAUUCGGAGAGGGAUUGCAGCAGCUAAAGAGGAGUUCCUCAGCUGUGAAUUAGCCAUCUUAGACCAGGGAUAAACUACUUCAAGGCUGGACCAAGCAGGUUUGCGGAUUAAUUUAAGCUUAAUUG